rnacentral:snRNA from 15 species
GUAUUCAGUUGUCUCCGGGUUCAGUGUGAUCAAGAGUGCUCUGACCCUGGGUAGAGGCUCACCAUUGCACUUCAGUAGGUUGAAACUCACGACGGACACUAAUCGGACGCUCUCAGGCGUGUAGUUUUUGUCAGUAGAGAGGCCUCACGGUCCUUCAUUU